rnacentral:rRNA from 1 species
UGGGGAAUUUUCGGCAAUGAUCCAAAGCGCUCCGGAGCAACGCCGCCAGAGGGAGGAAGGUCUUUGGAUUGUAAACCUUUUUUCUCAAGGAUUAAGUUCGGACUGUACGCGAGGAAUCAGCAUCCGGUAAAUUCCUUCCAGCAGCCGCGCUAACAAGCGGGAGGCAAGCCUUAUCCGGAAUUGAUGGGAGUUACGCGUCCGCAGGACGUAUUCCAAGUCCGCUGUCAAAUCAGGUUGCUUCAAGACUUAAAGGCGGUGGAAACCAGCAGAGUAGAGAGCAGUAGGGGUACCAGGAAUUCCCAGUGGAGUAUUGAACAGGGUCGAGAUGAUGAUGAACAUCGAUGGAGAAAGCGACAGCCCAGAGGCCUCCAUCCCUCAGGGAGGAAAGCUCGGGGAGCGAAAGGGACUAGAUACCC